rnacentral:rRNA from 1 species
GAUGAACGCUGGCGGCGUGCUUAACACAUGCAAGUCGAACGAAGCACCUCGCCCGAUGAAAUGGAGUGCUUGCACAAAGUGGAAUCAAUUGAGGUGACUGAGUGGCGGACGGGUGAGUAACGCGUGGGUAACCUGCCCUAUACAGGGGGAUAGCAGUUGGAAACGACUGAUAAUACCGCAUAAGCGCACAGGACCGCAUGGUCUGGUGUGAAAAACUCCGGUGGUAUAGGAUGGACCCGCGUCUGAUUAGCUAGUUGGUGAGGUAACGGCUCACCAAGGCGACGAUCAGUAGCCGACCUGAGAGGGUGACCGGCCACAUUGGGACUGAGACACGGCCCAAACUCC